rnacentral:lncRNA from 1 species
AUGUGGAAGGCUGUUAUCUAGUAGGAGGCGCGGCCCAAUGCAUUUGGAGGCCUAGGACGAACUCACUAAAUGAAAUCUUUUUUUAAAUAAUAAUAAUAAUAAUAAUAAAUUUUUAAUAAGUAUAAAAUAGUUUAAAAAUUUAUUUAAAAAUAAUCCGUCUAGCUUUUUGAGAUACAAAAUUAUAAAAGAAAAAAAUAGAAGAGAAAAAUUGUAACAAAAUUAUAGAAAUUGUACCAAAUUAAUGGGAAUUAAACGCUGGAUGUUGAAAAUAUAAUCAAACAACAAAGGAAAAUUAGAAGAAUCACACCGUAUGUCGUGCCACUAACUCACUGUCACUGUAUCACAGACUGACAG